ACAUCCAAGGAAGGCAGCAGGCGCGUAAAUUACCCAAUCCUGACACAGGGAGGUAGUGACAAUAAAUAACAAUGCCGGGCCUUUGUAGGUCUGGCAAUUGGAAUGAGAACAAUUUAAACCCCUUAUCGAGUAUCAAUUGGAGGGCAAGUCUGGUGCCAGCAGCCGCGGUAAUUCCAGCUCCAAUAGCGUAUAUUAAAGUUGUUGCAGUUAAAAAGCUCGUAGUUGGAUUUGUGGCUGUCUCGAGCGGCCUAGCACCUAGUGUUAGUGCCUGCUUGGGUCGCCAUCCUUGGGUGGAGCCUGUGUGGCAUUAGGUUGUCGUGCAGGGGAUGCCCAUCGUUUACUGUGAGAAAAUUAGAGUGUUCAAAGCAGGCUUAUGCCGUUGAAUAUGUUAGCAUGGAAUAAUAAGAUAGGACCUCGGUACUAUUUUGUUGGUUUGCGCACGAGGUAAUGAUUAAUAGGGACAGUUGGGGGUAUUCGUAUU
rnacentral:rRNA from 1 species